GUGGUGAAAAUGAUUAACACACUUGGCUGUUAACCAAAAGGUUGGUGGUUUGAAACCACCC
rnacentral:tRNA from 1 species